CAGGCAGCCUUUGACGUGCAGUAUGGUUUAUUUAAGCAAAUUGCUGACCAUUUGCUCUACCCCAAUCCUGGUUCGGGAAUGAUACAUGAGCAACAUCUCCAGUUUUUCCAUUUCCUCGAAGUUCUUUUGGCAAAGGUCAUGUUUGAAGGAACUCUUGUUGAUAUACUUUUUGCAACAUUCUUCUUGAGCAAGUUAAAACAGAAGUAAGGUUUUUAAAGAUUUACUGUCUUACUGUUUUGUAUUUUGUGCUGAUCCACUAAUCGUAGUAUUGAUGGUCAUGACAAUGACUAGUUGCAAGUUACUUGAAUUUUUAGGGUUCUAAAAAUCUUACAUUUUAUUAUGGGUGCACUGCCUACUAAUGAGAUUGUCAAUUGCUAACUUCCAAAUGUUGAAUUUGGGAUUUCCAUGCUACAUUCACUUUCUUGAUCUGCAAUUACAGAGCUACUCUAUACUGGAAUAAAGUCUCAUCUGAACUGUA